rnacentral:rRNA from 1 species
UACGUAGGGGGCUAGCGUUGUCCGGAAUCAUUGGGCGUAAAGCGCGUGUAGGCGGUCCGGUAAGUCCGCUGUGAAAGUCGGGGGCUCAACCCUCGGAUGCCGGUGGAUACUGUCGGGCUUGAGUACGGAAGAGGCGAGUGGAAUUCCUGGUGUAGCGGUGAAAUGCGCAGAUAUUAGGAAGAACACCGGUGGCGAAGGCGGCUCUCUGGAACGGUACUGACGCUGAGACGCGAAAGCGUGGGGAGCGAACAGG